rnacentral:tmRNA from 1 species
GGGGGUGACUUGGCUUUGACGGAGGUAUCAAAGACCGAGGUGCAUGUCGAGAGGGUAGUGGCUCUCGUAAAUCAAUCACUGCGAUUUUUUAUAGUUGCCAACGACGACAACUACGCUCUAGCGGCUUAAGGCUGCUAGUUUCGGCCUGACGAGUGCCCUUGUAGACUGGCCGGAAUCAUUCAAAGGGAUCGCGAUUGGAGGUUGUGCCUGAUUCAAUCGCUAAAACCUCAGGUACUCGCUUUUUCGCAUCCUGCGCGACGGUUCGCGAUUAAGUUAAAUCAAUAGACGCGGCUAAGCAUGUAGAGCCAGAGUUAGCGAAUCGACGGACGCGGGUUCGAAUCCCGCCACCUCCACCA